AGUUUAAAACUUGAAGGAGAAAAAGAGGUUUCUAAAAAUCAAACUGCUGUGGAAACUGCUUUACCCAAAGCUUUGGUCCACAGCCUUCAUAAGAUCACCUAUCAGGGCAAAUAAAAUUUAGCCAUGUGAACAGGUCCCAUUUUGUCAGAAAUAUAAUUUGGAUUCAACUGUCCUUUUAUAAACUGAUCUGAUCAGAACCUGAAUUCUCCUAAUUUUCUUCAAUAUUUGGCUGCAACUCUCCAACUAAGAGCAAAAACUGCUCUGUGCUUGCCGCCUUAGAAGAUGAAGCUAGACAACUUGAUAUAAAUUUCAAGAGACAAGUCUCAUACCCGAAAAAAGAAGGACAAGUCUUGUGCCACACAGAAAGUUCACCAAUCCACCUGAUACCAUAGCAGAGAAUUCAAACUGCAAGCCAAGAGAAGUUGAUGGCUUCAUGCUAUAGGCAGCGUUUCCCAAGACACUCCAUCAAAAUGAGACUCUUGCCCCUCUUAAUUUUUCCUUUCUUAUGCUUACCUUUUUCUUUGGCAAGAUAAUGAUGUAAUUCAGAUUUCACAAUCAGCAGCUUCUGCUCAUAACUUAAAAGAACAUGACCUCUUAGGUAUCUAUUGUUUAAAUAAAAAAAAGUCUACGCUUCCACUAA